GGGUGUUAUGUUUGCGAUCUCUGCCUUGGUACCUAAGGAGGAAGAGGAGGAGGAGGGUGUGCUAUUGAAUGGUGGCUAAAGCCUCCUCGGGACGGCGCUGAGGUGAAACAGGCUGAACCCGACUGAUGUGCCUCCUCUCUCGGUUGGACCCAGUGCCCUAAGCAGCCGAUGAGAGACCCCCGGCCGCCCGGCUCGCAGGUACCUUUUUAAUGCUGAAAUGGACACACUAAUUGUGAGCCAUGUGGUAAGAAGCUCCUUCUAAAAUAUGCAAUAACUUAUUUACUGGAAUUUAACAGGCUGUGUACUUUAAAGCUUCUCUUGCCUGUAAUCAUGUGGACAAACCUUGCAAGUCCUAUUGCCAGCUCAAGAUUUGGAAAAGUAACGGCAGCGCUGAAACAGCCCCUGACAUUGGGCAAGGGACAGAAAGGAGCUGAUGACCUGCGACGGGACAAGAGACCUCACCAGGAUUUGCUCACGGUUAUGCUUCUGGCGACUGACAUUUCCAUUUUACUCAAAGCUUCUACGUCUGUGUCAUCAAAGCCCCGUGAGUGGUGGCAGAGCAAACCGUAGCCUUCAUUUUCAAGUUCAAAGAGAAAAAAUUAUUUACAUGUCUAAAUCCCAGAACCUGCUGUUCAGAGGUCACUCUUUUACCCAUUUUUUUAAAGCAUUAAGGUUUCCAAAAUCUCUAUUAAGAAAAAGGACACAGUUUGGGGCAGAAAAGUCUUAUUGUUUUCAUUUUGUCUAGUUUAUUUUUUAUUCUAUCAUCUGAUUUUUGUCCUACCAGAGGAACAUGGAAGAUGGGAUGUUUCUGUCAUUGUUUACAAUGAAUGGCUGCUUAAAGCGACUGUCAGAGAUUGCAAAACGAAUUUUUGAACCUCCUUAAGAUUCUUCUAAACCAAAGGAGAAUGUAUUUUAAUUCAUUAGAAUUUCAGAGUUUAUUUUGUAAGGAAAAUUAUUGAUUCAUGCAAUGACUGCUGCUUUGCUGUUUUAUCACAUUUCCAACUCAGUAUUUUUUAUGUUCUUUUCGUUAUGAAUUUAGGCAAAUGUUUAAUUGUUUGUUUUAAUGUUGCACUUUGUCUGUGUGUUUGUUUGUUUUAGAUGUGUUUUCCUGAAUCAGACCUUUGAAUUUAGUGACAAUUAUUACCAUUUCCAGAAAUUCUUUUUCCAUUCACAGAGUAAGCACUAAGAAGUCAAGGUUAUUCAACAGAAAUUAAUAAAUACAACCUGGAAAGGUCUUUAUCUUCCAAACUACAAAAGGGUCUCAAAAGGAAAAUGUAAAACCAAAAAUAGAUAGAAAUUGGUUAAUUCUUAAAAAAUAAUUGGAUCUGAAAAUAAAAAAAGCAUUUUAAAAUAAGAAAAUUUUCAGGCAUGGAAAAAAAGUGUUGCCUGACACAGUGUUUAGGGUAAAUAGAAGGUGAAUUGCUGCUACUGCAGUAGUGUGUAGGUCAUUUUACCUGUUCUAGUUGCCCUAUCUGUAAAUAGAUGAUAAUGCACACUUCUGCCUACUGUUGCACAAUCUUUACAUGUUUUACAGUGCAACAGAAAAGGGUUUCAUAAAGUACUUAAAUAUUGCUUGUUGGAUUUCUUGCUUUUGAGAGAAAAGACAGUUUGGACUAUACAUCUUGAAAGACCUCAUUUCUUAAGGUGGUAAUGGCAACUUUAAGUAUUUUGUGUGUGUGUGUGUGUGUGUGUGUUUGUUUGGUUUUAACUCUUUAAUGGACUGAUUUUUGGGUAUCUUUUCUGGAAUGUGCAGAUCUCUGAAGACUGAUAGAAGGGAGGGUUACUGUGAAUAGAAAAGCCUCCUUAAAGAGAUCUUAUGGUCAUCAGAAUUCUGUCAUCCUCACAAAAACAUACUUAGCAUUAGCAUGGCCCGUGUUUUGCAUUUCAUCUACUAAACUUUCAGAGACAUCUUUGUCUGGCUAGUGUCUCAAGGCUGUUAAAAUAUAUCACUGGAAGAGCCCUUACCUUUAGGCGAAUUCAGAUUGGAUCAUGCCAUGAUAUGAAAAGUCAUAUGCAAAUGCCAUGGCUUUUCCCAUUAAAUAAGCAUGCUGAUUUCAUUAAUAUUUCUUGAAAGAACAAGACCAAAAAGACUUGGAUUGUUGUGAGUCUCCUGUAGAGAAUUUUGGUGGCAGAACUGUUGCCAUAUGGCUGUACUUAUUUUGUGCUGCAUGAAAGGAAAUGAGUGGAAAUUGUAGAAAAUCUAUAUCAAAGUAAAAUGCUACAAGCAAACAGGCUAUCCACUUAUUAUACUGACAGUACUGAUGAUGUCUACUCUGAAAAUAGGCAUGGAGUAUGCUCAGGAUGGUGUAUCUCUUGAGCCCCACUUUGUGUUGCCUUCCUUUAGCUCUGCUCAAGACUGAGCUGUUGGGUUUGCCAACAGGCCAGAUUGCUUAACCCGUCUUUCUUACCAAUAGGCAAUCUCAAGGUUAUCCUAGGACAUGUGACAUUGCCAGAAAGGUGACUGGAUGGUUGUCACUGCAGAGCUAUGCAAGGGGACUGUGUGCACUGGAGAAUUCUCCUUUUCCAUAUCCUAAAUCAUGCCCUAGACUUGACCUUGAGUAUAGCUUUAUGCUCUCACAACCUACCUUGAUGUGUGUUCUGGCCUUGAACACAGAUCUGAGUUUGUAAGGUUAGUGACAUUAAAAAAAAUGCAUUCUUGUUUGAAACUUUCAGCAUUUAAGGUAGGAAAGGCAAUUAAGUAAUCAAAUACAGAAAGAAAAUGGUUUAUAAGAACAUCAAAUUUAGGAAUACAGCACUUUGGUUUUUAGAUUAUCAGUGAAGUGACAAAGGUGUCUCUUACCUGCUGCUUUGCCUGUGGUAGGUGUCAGCUCACAGCUGAAGUGCAGGUGUAUGAAAUGCAUGUCAUAUCACCGACACAUGCUCACCAGAUGCCACCAAAGACAUCAGGCCCUACUAAAAAGUAAGAAACCAUAAUUAUUAUAUGAUAUAAAGGGAUAAAUUAGGAUUAUUGGUAAAAUAAAUAUUAAAAUAGAGAUUAACACUUGAGAAUAACGUUUCAUUUAUUUGCUGUUUUUAACUAAAUUCAGAGCAGUUCAAAUAUAUUGGUACAUCUUUUGGACUUAUGUUUUAAUUGUGAAAAUGGCUAAUCUGUGUAUAGCUUAUUCAUGUUGCUAUUUCAAGUUACUUUAAUUGCGGUACUUACGUAAAUUCAGGAAGCAGAAUUGUAUUCCAUCUGGUGAUUAAGUAUUUACUUACAUUAAUCAUACAGUCAGAACACACAGAAUAAUUAAAAAAAACUACUGAAAACUUGAUUUAACAUAUUAGAGAAAUUAAUGUGACUAAAUGUGUCCAUGUAGGGCCUGAAAAUUUAAACACACUUAAAAACAUAAUGUAGGAAACAAACAGGGAGCUACAAAUGCUGUGAUUUCACCAAGAAACCUGUUUUUCCUACUAUUUCAGCUGAGUUAUGUAUCAAGAAGAGAUGUGCAUAAAGCUACUUUCAACUUUAUUUAUUUAUUUAUUUAUUUAUUUAUUUAUUUAUUAAAAAUGAAUGUAUUAUAUGUGCUUUCUGAGAUUGAAGCUGUUUACUUUCACUCUACUGUGAAUAUCUAGCCCCAGUGAAAUACCUAGGGAGACCUGGUAUGUUAACUUAGAGAUCCAAAAAUAUGUUUCCACUUCCCCAUAUUAGGUCCAGUAGUAAAAUAUUUUCAGACUGAAAUAGAUGCAUGACUCACCUGAGGAAAUGGUACCUCAAGUUGUUUACAAGAUGGACACUUUCCAGGUCAUGAGUCCUGUCAUUCUUGUAUCUAUAAAAUCCACUAAGGUGACCUACAAACCAUCACUCUCUAGCAGAUAAUUACUCAGGAGCUUCUCCAAAAUCAAAAGAAAGCCUACAAGUGGACCUGUGUACAGGGUGACAUGACGAUCCUGUCUCCUGUGCUAGACAUGGAAGCAAUUUUUAUUCUUAAUAAUCUAGUUUGUCUCUAAUACACUGAAAUUCAGAAUGAUGUAUAUUGGCACAAUGUAUCAGAUUACAAGACAAAAAAGUGGUUUUGCUCUAUUGUUCUGGACAUUUAGACUACACAAACAACAGGUUGCAAUGCUAUUCUUUGAAAACUCUAGUGGUAUACGAAUGUGCACAUGUGCACAGCAGAUCACUAGUUAUUGCAGUAAAGGCAGUCUGUGCUUCUGCUAUAUAUUUUCCCAACUGAUGUGUUUUUUUUUAGAGGUUGUCAUAUGGUAUAACACUUUUACUAGUUGACUCCUCCCACUUUUCUUCAAACCACAUCCUGAUUUUUGGCCUCAGAAACCAAACAUAUGCACAACUUGCAGAACAACACAUGAUAUUGUUUCUGCAUAACAUCAUACCAGCUGGGAUAUAAAUUCUUACAGACAAUUUUAUGCAUAUGAAAAAUACCUACAUUAAGACAUUUUCCAUAGUUAUGCAAUACAUACCACAGUAGAGCAUAUGGUCUAUAGUCAGAGAUCCUCACUUAGAACUAUAAAAAAAGUCCCAACUUGGGCCUCAGAUCUUCAGACAAUGUAAUUUUGAAUAGAUCAUUCCAAUUUAUCUCUGUUGUGUAUCUUCCUUUUUCUAUUCUGUUUUGGAUUUGUGAAAUCCAACAUCAGAUAUUUUGCUGGUAUGUCAAGGAUCCUUAAAUUAUAUCUAUUUGAUUUAUUUGGCAUCAAGUCCAAUAAAAUUCUUAUUUAACUAAAGAACAGCUAAUUUCUGGUGAAAUUCUAACCUGUAUCAUGAUUUGAAGAUAUGCCAAUAGGAAGAAUUCAUCAUUUUGGGGCAAUUUAUUUCAACAUUUAUUUUCAUUAUUAGAAAAUGGUUUUGUUCCUGAUCUGUCAGUGUUCAACUUCCAGAAAUAUUACUAUUAUUAUUAUUAUAUUUUUCUUUUGAAGAAUGGUGGGUUGGGGUGGUUGUCAUGUUAUUCUCCCUUCAGGAUACAGUAUUUUUGUACAAGGGUUUUGUCCCAUGAUCUAUAAACUUUAAUAAAGUUGCGUCAGCUCCCCUUUUUAAGAAUCAAACAGAUUGAGUUUAUAGUUUCACAGCGAAUAAUGUUCUCCUGCUCUCAAAUUAAUUUUGAAUGCAAUUUCGUGAACUCUCAUUUUUUUUCCACCAUUCCCAUUAAAUAUGGACAACAGAACUAUGGGAAUUAUUCCAACAAUUGCAUCAGGAUUCAAGGAUUACUUUAGCUCUGUUCAUGCAGCUUCACAGUGGCAGCUCAUGUUGGGUUGCUGGUCCUCUAUGGUCCAUAAAUCGUUGCAGAAUCAAGGCAUUUCAAGGCACUGUACCCCAUUUUUUGGGGGUAAAAUAUCCUUGUAUUGAUAUAUGACCAUGCAUUCAUCUCUCUCAAAAUGCUCAUUUUUUCAGUGGGUCUGGCUUGUAAAGAAAUCUCUUCCUUGGUCUCCUCAUUAUGUACUACUCAAGUAAUCUUUCUGUCAUCCACAGAUUUUUAACAUGGUAAUUUCUAUUUGCACCUCCAGAUCACUGCUGGGAAUACUGAAUAACACUGGCCACAGUGCUGAUGCCUGCUGGAUACCAUUAGAAACAAUUCAAUAUUAAUUUUUUUUUAAUGUAUCUUUUGAUGACCUGCUGGCCAUCUCUUAAUUGAAAUUGUGAUCACUGGUGUUUUGUAGUCAACCUUUUUUUUUUUCUUAGCAAAAAUUUAGUGCAGCAUUUACAAAUUUUCUUUAUACAUUUUCAAUUAAACAAACAGAAGAUAAGCUCUCCAUGAAAGCCGAAAAAAGUCAGUUGGCCAUGCUGCAAAUUAAAUGCCCGGGAUUAAUAUUCUUCAGUUUUCUCUGCGCCUGUAACUUCAUCUCACCUUUUCAAAACAUUUCAUAUAUAAAUAAUACUGUUCAUGUUUCAGAACAGGAGAGAUUCUGAUUUGCCUGACGUUUCUAUUUUAAAAUGUGUAGGGACUUUCUGAAAUUAUUGAAAUUGCCUUUGGGAAACUUACAGAACUGAUUCCAGACACUGGUGCAUGCACUUUCUUAAUCUUUUUUUAACACAUUUUACUAAGCUUCUCUCUCCGAUUGGGUAGUGUAUGCUUUAUAAUCUGCCACAAAACAUUAAAUUCAUGAAACUGGAAAAAAAAUAAUAAUUAAUUAUUAGUCUAUGCUUUUGCAGACACACCUUGUAUUCAUUUCUGUCUGUAAAAGAGAGCACUACAUCUGUUAUGUUGGCAAAUAAAGGUACAUCCACAAUUCCCUCAAAACUUUACCAAUGUCAUAGCUCUCCUUCUUCUCAUCCCCUAGUAUUUAAGGGAAUUUGAUAAUAUUCCUGAGAGGUGCUUGAGUUUUUGCAAGUAAAGAGAAAGAAGGGGUUGAGCUUUGAGAAGAGGAGACUAGUUUAAAACGUCUCUCUUUCAUUUUUUGGAACCUUCUCCAUUCCAGAAGAAAGUUCUGGUGAAAUUUGUUAAAAAGAAAUUUCCAAGUAGUUUAUUAUUUUUAAAACAAAUCUAAGACUUUUGGAUUUAUCAGACUUUUCUGCCUUUGUAUAGGUUGAAUAUCAUAUCUAAUAGCACAUUAAUAAUUACAUGUCAUUUUCUUUAUCCUCUUUGUGCACUGCCAGUUGGCAAAGGUGCCUCAUUUCACACAUCAUUUGUGAUGUCCUAUGGUAAUACUGUGUAUUUUGGGGAAUAGCUCUUGAAUGUAGUCAUUAAUCUCCAUUUUGAGAUGUGUAGUUCCAGAUUCUGGACCCAAUUCUGUAAUUAUUCUAAGUACAGAGUUCUUGCUGAAGUCAAUGGGCUAGCAAUACUAUGCUCAGAUCCCAAGAGAAAGAGUACAGGUAAUUUUAAUCUACAGGAUUGUAGGAUUUCCCAGUCCUACAGCCAGGCUGAGGUGGCCACAACCCAGCAUAUGGAAGCAAGUUACUCUGUUUGCUGGCAAUCAGUGACCCAUUGGGUCACUGCAACAGGUGGGAAUUGGGAUUCAGGGGUGAUGCUGGACAGUCUUACCACACUGUGGAGUGAAAGAAAGCUAUUCUGAUGGUCCUAUUCCAUUCAAGACAGCUAGCACAAAAGAACACUGUUAAUUCCUACUGAGGCAGAGCAGGCACAAGUCAACAGUGAUCCAGACCCAACUUCAACACAGAGACAGCUUGUGAAAUUGAAAAACAGGAAUGAAACAGAAAGUACAGUAUGUGUCUGAGAAAUCUUAUCAACCUUGGCAGAGAUAUUUAUUGCUCACUGCUGACUGAGAAUCCUGUCUUGCUAGAGAGUAGUUGCAAGUUACUAAUGGAGUAAAAAUGUGGGGUGAGCAGAGAAUUGCAGUCAAUGGCUGAUUACUCUGAUGUCACGCUUUGGGAACGGCAGCCAGAAAUGUGCAACUCAUUCUGCCUUUAGAAUCAAAGGCAUCUAAUUACAAUCUCAUUUUGUUAAAAUACAGCGCUAAUGAUUUGCUUGUGCAGUAGCUGGAUACUGUGUCAACUGCCAUAUAAGCUAAGAUUUUCCAUUUUAACAAUCCUAGUUACAGUAUCCGACUGCUUAUGCAUAAACAUUCACCAGUUGUUGCUGUGUGUCAUUGGAGAGGAGAAAUGCAGCAGCUUCCAUGAGUCACUGGCAGAUAAACUUUGUGCUAAAAUGUCCUACUUCACUUUAGAAGAGUUUUUUUGAGAUAUUCAUAAAAACUGGUCCUUUAAAAAUCCUGCUAUACUUAGGUUAUUCUGUGGCACAUAAAAGAGGUUAAGCGGUUAAGCGCUGUUCCCUCUUGUAAUAUCCACCUCCCAGUUCUUUUUAAUUUUUGUAAUCUGUCUUUUUAUUUUUUUUCCCUUGGUACUCAGUUGUUUGUACCUUUGGGUUGCUUCUCUAUGUUUGAAACAAGUUAUAUAUGAUCUUCCAAAAUUUUAUUACCAAAUGUGUAUGUACACAUUUUCAGAGCUCUCACUACUUGCAAAGUCUUAUUUUGGAUUAAGGGCUACUUCUUUUAUCUUCCAAGCACCCUGCUGACAACAACUGUAUUGUUAAAUAUCCACGGUACCUUGUUUUGUUCCCUACAUAUGUCUUUCCUUGAACAGACCCCGAAUUAAGCGUGUGCAUGGGUGGCAUGUGUUAACAUUUAGUAUUAUUUGAUCUUAUUCCAUGAAAUCAUCUUCAGCAAAUUCUGCACAUUUUAAUUUGUUAAUUAUAGCUAAGUCUAUACUAUUAAAUAUUUAUCUGAAAGGAGUUCUCUGACAGCACAGAAAUGAGGAUAGCUUUCUAAGUAAAUGUUUUGGUACACAACAGGGACAGUUUUUAGACCAAGCCACAUUUUUCACAUGACAUUAGAUGGCUCCAGAGUUUGAUAUGUUUGGUUUUCUCCUCUAUGUCUGAUGUGUAAUUCUAUUUCUGAAUAUGUUCCUUCUUCAAAUGUGAAUUGCAAUAAUUCUUUCACUCUAGCUGGCACUAUGACAGUGCCCAUCCUUCCAAAUCCAUGUAACUGGCAUUUUCUUCAAGUGCAUAGCUCUUGUAUCUCCAGGUCUCUGCAAGUUUUUUUCAAUAGCCUUUCCUAUGAAGUAGUUUCCUAUGAAGCUGUGGUGUCAAAAAUCAGACAGGAUCUUAAAGAAAUAUGUGUAGCAAGCUGUUCACACUCAAGUGGUAUUCAGAGUAUUAAGAGAAGAACAAGGUUUGUAAUUAUUAUUUUUAAGCAGCACAGAGGGCAGCCAGAAGGGUUGAAGUAGGAACCAUUCCAAGUAUAUAUCCUGAAGAAGCAAAGGGGGCAGUAAUAAAACUAAACUUCCCCUUGUAAAGAGAAAAAUUGUUGGAAGGAUGGACUCAUUAGUUAGGUGCUGGGGUCCAAGUCAUUCUCUGUUUCCUUCUCAUUACCUCCAGGCCAUGACUGUGUUCUAACUAUAUCCCAGAUCAGAACACUACCUGGGAAUAUUAGUGAGCUGAAAAAGAAAACAGUAAAAGAGUUAUGGUCCCAAUGUCGGUAUGAAAAUCAGGACCAUGAUCUUUUAACUGCUCCAGUAAAAAGUCAAUUGUAAUUUCUGCUUCUUGGAGAUGCCCAGCAUAUUCAAAGAGCUCUCCACAAGUUUACAUUCAGCUCCGUCAGAUUAAAAAAUCAGGAAAACACUCUGAUGAGCUCAGUUUCCAUAGGCUGCUUGGGCAGAGAUAGUCAAGAAACCAGCCCACUCUCCAGUCUCUGCUAAGUCCUCAUUUGGGGGCAGGUUUAUUCCUACAAGUGAGCACCAGUCCUUGAGUUGUUUGCCAUCUGUGUGCAGUCAGUACACUGGGUAUCAUUGCUGUCUUCUCCUUCCCUGACUCUCUGAAAGAGAGUUUACUGGUGAUUUUGCUCUGCCAGACAGCAGAGGGAUUCUCUAGCCUCUGUCCUUGGGAGUGGUGCAACAGAAGAAGGGCAAGCUGGCACUCACUGCUGCUCUUAUUCUUCCCAAUGUUACAAAUUAAAACAAGAAUAUGAAAAACCCACAUGACUUCAUCCUUCAGACCACAAGUGAAGCUGAGUCAGCAAGUGGUGAAGAAAACUAUCUAUAUUUAUAGUGAAAGAACAAUUAUUUCUUUUUCAUGAAAUGUUUGUAGCUAAUCAACUCAAAUAACUGCCUAUUUAAUAAAUACAAGCUGCAUACAAUCCUGCCAAAAAUGCUCUUGGAUGGUAUAUUUUGCAUUUAAUAAGUCUCAAAAGUUAUUAGAUGAUCACUUUUUUAGUCAAUAGACUAAGAUCUAAGAUUAGAAAUUUAUUUGGAUUUUUAAAUGUUCAUAAUAUAUGUUGAUUUUAUUCAUAUCCAAGUUUAGUUUCACUGUUUUCUGUAAAGGCAGUGGUGGCAGGAACUGAACCCAAAAGCUAGCACUUAACUAUUUCUUUUCAUAUGUCCUAAUCACUUUCCUAGACUUUUCUUUGUCUUUUUUCUUUUUUUUUCUUUUUUUUUUUUUUUCUCUCCCUCACACUUUUUAGGCAUACUAAAUGCGUUUAGCUUGAAUCCGUUACAGUUUGAAAUUCGCAGAAAUCAAGCAACUAUAUUUAUACAUGUAAGUUAAACUCAAAUUACCCCAUCUGAAUAUUUUUGUGUUGUUUAUUAUGUAAGUGAACAUCCAUUUGAUACAGGUCAUUAAAGUGUCAGACUUUAAUAUCAAUAUAUAUUUAUUACGUGAUUUAAAAAAAAAAUAAAAAAAUCAAAAAUUAUGUAUCAUGUACAGAACACUCUAUGAUUAAGAAGAUUAUGCUUUCAAAAGAGAUUUAAGGAUAGUAUAAUUUCAAAACUACCUUUUAUCUCAUUUGGUAUUAUUUAUUUCCUACCUUUGAACACAUACCAUGGACAUCUUAAACUCUGAAUACCUUUGUUUUAAUCACUUUAUACUGCUCUGUCCUCUCCUUCCCCCAGGACCUUUACAGAGGUGCAGGUAGCCAGGCACAAAGGUUCAGAAAGCAAAGUUGGGAACAGUAAAUUCUAUUGACAUUAACUCCUCAUGAAUUUCAGCACACAGAUUUAUCCAUGUAAGUCCCAUUAAAAUUAAUGGGAAUCAUGUGACUCAACCCUCUGCAUACUGAGCACUUUCCUCAGUGUUCUGAAGAGUGUGUGUCUAGUUUCUGAGUCCUUAAACAAAAUGGUGAACGUGCAGUGACAAUAGAUGAUUUAAGUGUCACAUGCAUUUAACGUAUUACAGAGCUUUGAAGAAACAUCUAUAAAAGCAGCCUUUGCAUCACAAGUCAAAAGUUCCAAGGAAAAUUUAAUUUAUAUUGAAAAUUUUGGUAUGGUUUUCAUCAAAAUGAUAAAACAGACUACUGUAUUUGCAAUUUACCAUCUAACUAUACAACAUUUAACUUAAAUCAUCAUACGGAAUGCAAUAAAUGAAAUAUUUUUCAGAACAAUGGUUUAAGCUUGGUGUUUUUAAUCUAUUGAACUUUUUUUUUAAAGAGAGUCUAUUAAUAGGCCAUUAACAGAGACAUUAUUUUAAAAUGAGAUUUCAAGGAAAGGUUAUACUUAAAUAAGCUACAGUAAGAAUAGGCAUAAGCUGAUGAAACAACUUUCAAAUAAAUAAUGCUAUAAAUAAUAUUUAUGAUGUUAUGCCCAAGCAAUGUGAAAACAAAGGCUAUAAUUUACCUUUGAAUCAUAUAUAUCUAUUCCUAUGUCAAUGUUUGGAAGUCCACUGACUUAAUAAGAAGCUAUAUAAGCAUGAGGAGGUGAAGAGAAGAUAGUGGAAAAAAUGGCACAUGGGCACUGUAAGGAUGCUCCAAAUACUCUCUGAUUUGUAGACUAUCCUAAUUCCUUCCCUUCUCCCUCUUUCUUUUCUUUGGAAGUGAAAUUUAUGAUAUUCAACAGAAACUUUGGAGGAAACUUCUGCACAAUUAUAUGCCAUUUACAUUAAAUCAGAGUUGAGAUGUGUCCUAGUCAUAAAAUCUUUCACAAAACACAAUCUCUUUCUUAGUAGCCAAAAAAACCCUGAAAUUUUCUCAGCUAGCAGACAAUGGCAUCAACUGUAUGGAACUUACUAAACAAAACCAGUUUGUUUAUUUUUGACUCGGGAAAUGCUCUCCCUUCUCACCAUGUUCAGCAAUAGUUUUGUAUUCUUCUAUAUUUUAAUAGACUGAAUAUUGGAUCAACUGCUAUGAACCUCUGCUGUCUUCAUUUCUUACAGGAAAUGUAGUCUUGGCUAUUUCAACUUCACCUUUGUUUUGUCAUUAGGAUAAAGAGCAUGUACAUGUUAAUUUAUUAGUAUGCUGAGAAGUAGUUGGUACACCUAAUGUUUUCAAGGUAAUUUGAGUAGACAAGCAUAACAGAAAUAUUUUCUACCAUAGCUGUUAUUGUUUUCAGUGAUAUCUUUACUGAGUGGAUUCUCAACUUUGAGAUGCAAAUACACAGAUGAAUGGACUUAAUUAGUUCUGCUGUUCUUGAAGUUACCUGGAAGUAUAAGAGAGACUUUUGGUAGUAGGUUUUUUUUUUUAGAAAACCUUUUUCCUGAUGUAUUUUUCCUCCUACCAAUUCCCAGAUACUCUACUAUAGAUUGUGGUUUGCAGUGAUCAGAAAGGAUGCUGACACAAGAUAUUAUUGUUAAAAGCAGAUACUGAGAUUUUACUUAUCAGCUUGAGACACUUUACAAAUAAAUUCAUUACCGUCGUAACAACAAAAUCAAAUACAAUCUUAUUCAUGUACCAUAGAGGACAGUUCUGAGUUUUGUACAGGAAUGCUUUCAAUUUUUAUUGCUAAAACGUGACUUCUUUAUUUUUUUAAUCAUCAGAUAUUUCUGAAAAAGUUCAAGGUUUAAAUGUCUCUUACAGUCUUCAUGAUCAUGAAAGCUAUAAUAAUGGCUUUGAAUCUGAUAUUUGGGCAUUAGCCCCAAAUGCUUACUAAUUAUGCCCUGAAGUAACACCUCAGGAUGAAAGAAGCUAAAUGGGGGAAAGAAUAUAAAGAAAAAAAACAAAACAACUAUUCUUCUUUAAAAAAUUAAAAUUGUUCAUUCAAUUAAAAACCCUUUAAUAAAAGUCCACAUUUGAGUUCAAGUUGCCCACGGGAAGGUCUAAUUCAUGCUGGCCAUUAAUGAAAGGUUUAUAUGACUAUUAAGGAAAAACUGACAAGUUGCCACAGAAACCUUAGUAGUGCUUGUUAACAUAAAUAAGAAAUAAGAGGUGGAUGCUUAGAAUGAACCCUAAAUUCUACUUUUAUAAGGUCAAACUUAGUAAAAUGUUAAUAGGUUUAGAAGAUCUGUAAUUUCAGCUACUGAUACAAUUCUAUGUAUGUUUUUAAAUGUUGUACUGAAGUUUCUUUCUUUUGCAGAUGAAAACUCUACGGUUUGAUUAAAUGGGAACAAAUAUCUGGAAAUAAAUUGGCAAUUGUAAUACUUCUUUGCUCAAUUCACUUAGCAUAGAGAUAAUAUUUUCUAAACUGGAACUUAUAUCAAGCAUUUGUACAAUGCAAAUCAAAUCAAUGUCUAGAACUGGUUCAUGAACAAAUGAAAACAAGUAAAAUCUAUUUUUUAAAAAAUAAGUUGGUGGAAAUUAAUAUUUUUCAGAACUUGCGUAGUGGUUUUUGCAUUUAUAACACUCCAGAGCUUCAGUUAUAAAGACAAAAGAAACAUAAUAAUUCCUAUUUGGAGAGAAAAACAAUUUUGAGGCAUUAAUGCAUUUUUUUUUUAAGAUAUGUUCAUUUCUGAUGCCUCAUUUUUUUUUUCAUGCUGAAAAUUUGCCAGUAGGCAUUCUGAAUUGCAUUCCAUAUCACUUAAAAAAGUAGAUUUACAUGUCUUAGUCAAAGUCAUAUAUCAGGAUAGUACCAGAAUGAGGGAGAAAAAUAAGCAAAUAAGCUUUUUUAAAUUUAGAACUCUGUCAUAACAACUGGAUCACAGCUAUUGUCAUAUAACUCAAAUCCAAUGGUUUUCAUAUAAAAACAUUUCUAAUUUUGCCAGAAGACAUUUGUAAAAGUUAUGUAGGAUGAACUGAUCUGCAGUGUUGCAUGGAUGUUUUCUUAGACUAUCAAAAAAACCAAACUGUAAAGCAGAGUUUAUUAUACAAUGCCAACAAAUUAAUGUAGUUUAGAGCAAUCACUAUAAACCAUUAAAAAGUAACACAACCAUCAAUUUUUCCAUUGGUGACUGAACUUUAGCAACAGAGUUGGUAAAAGAUUUAUUAAUUUUUACUUUUUUACAACACUGGUAGCAUGUCCAUUGAUUUCACAUGGAGUUGUCAACACAACAAAUAUUACAAACUUUCCAAAGCACUCAUUACAAAUAAAUUAAAAUUUUAAACUACA